rnacentral:rRNA from 1 species
AGAACGAACGCUGGCGGCAUGCCUAACACAUGCAAGUCGAACGAGACCCCCGUUUUCGGAUGGCGGGUCUAGUGGCGCACGGGUGCGUAACGCGUGGGAAUCUGCCCUUCGGUUCGGAAUAACAGUUAGAAAUGACUGCUAAUACCGGAUAAUGACGUAAGUCCAAAGAUUUAUCGCCGAAGGAUGAGCCCGCGUAAGAUUAGCUUGUUGGUGAGGUAAAGGCUCACCAAGGCUACGAUCUUUAGCUGGUCUGAGAGGAUGAUCAGCCACACUGGGACUGAGACACGGCCCAGACUCCUACGGGAGGCAGCAGUGGGAAUAUUGGACAAUGGGCGAAAGCCUGAUCCAGCAAUGCGCGUGAGUGAUGAGCCUUAGGGUGUAAAGCUCUUUACCGGAUGAUAAUGACAGUACCGGAGAAUAAGCUCCGGACUAACUCCGUGCCAGCAGCCGC